CCUACGGGAGGCAGCAGUCGAGAAUCAUUCACAAUGGGGGAAACCCUGAUGGUGCGACGCCGCGUGGGGGAAUGAAGGUCUUCGGAUUGUAAACCCCUGUCAUGUGGGAGCAAAUUAAAAAGAUAGUACCACACGAGGAAGAGACGGCUAACUCUGUGCCAGCAGCCGCGGUAAUACAGAGGUCUCAAGCGUUGUUCGGAAUCACUGGGCGUAAAGCGUGCGUAGGCUGUUUCGUAACUCGUGUGUGAAAGGCGCGGGCUCAACCCGCGGACGGCACAUGAUACUGCGAGACUAGAGUAAUGGAGGGGGAACCGGAAUUCUCGGUGUAGCAGUGAAAUGCGUAGAUAUCGAGCGGAACACUCGUGGCGAAGGCGGGUUCCUGGACAUUAACUGACGCUGAGGCACGAAGGCCAGGGGAGCGAAAGGGAUUAGAUACCCGGGUAGUC
rnacentral:rRNA from 1 species